UGGGGAAUAUUGCACAAUGGGCGCAAGCUUGAUGCAGCGACGCCGCGUGAAGGAUGAAGGCUUUCGAGUCGUAAACUUCUGUUAAGUGGGAAGAAAGAGUGCCGAGUAAUAUGCGGCAAAGAUGACGGUACCACUAGAGAAAGCACCGGCUAACUUCGUGCCAGCAGCCGCGGUAAUACGAAGGGUGCAAGCGUUAUUCGGAGUUACUGGGCGUAAAGAGCGUGUAGGCGGCUUGUUAAGUCUACUGUUAAAUUACUUGGCCUAACCAAGUGUGAGCAGUGGAAACUGGCGAGCUUGAGUGUAAGAGAGAAGAGUGGAAUUCUCGGAGUAGCGGUAAAAUGCGUAGAUCUCGAGAGGAACACCGGUAGCGAAGGCGGCUCUUUGGCUUACAACUGACGCU
rnacentral:rRNA from 1 species